rnacentral:rRNA from 1 species
GGGUCAGUAGGUUGGUCGUGCCACCGGUACGUACUGGUCUCACUGAUUCCUCCUUCCUGAAGAACCGUAAUGCCAUUAAUUUAGUGUUGCGGGGAAACAGGACUGUUACUUUGAAAAAAUUAGAGUGUUUAAAGCAAGCUAACGCUUGAAUACAUUAGCAUGGAACAAUGAAAUAGGACGAUCGAUCCUGUUUUGUUGGUUUCUAGGAUUGACGUA